rnacentral:rRNA from 1 species
GUGAACGCUGGCGGUAGGCCUAACCCCUGCAAGUCGAACGGCAGCACCGUAAGAGCUUGCUCUUACGGGUGGCGAGUGGCGGACGGGUGAGGAAUACAUCGGAAUCUACUUUUUCGUGGGGGAUAACGUAGGGAAACUUACGCUAAUACCGCAUACGACCUACGGGUGAAAGCCGGGGAUCUUCGGACCUUGCGCGAUUGAAUGAGCCGAUGUCGGAUUAGCUAGUUGGCGGGGUAAAGGCCCACCAAGGCGACGAUCCGUAGCUGGUCUGAGAGGAUGAUCAGCCACACUGGAACUGAGACACGGUCCAGACUCCUACGGGAGGCAGCAGUGGGGAAUAUUGGACAAUGGGCGCAAGCCUGAUCCAGCCAUACCGCGUGGGUGAAGAAGGCCUUCGGGUUGUAAAGCCCUUUUGUUGGGAAAGAAAAGCAGCAGGUUAAUACCCCGCUGUUCUGACGGUACCCAAAGAAUAAGCACCGGCUAACUUCGUG